rnacentral:rRNA from 1 species
UGAGGAAUUUUCCGCAAUGGGCGAAAGCCUGACGGAGCGACGCCGUGUGUGCGACGAAGUCCUUCGGGAUGUAAAGCACUGUCAGGGGGGACGAUAUUGACGGUACCCCAAGAGGAAGGCCCGGCUAACUACGUGCCAGCAGCCGCGGUAAUACGUAGGGGCCAAGCGUUGUCCGGAAUCAUUGGGCGUAAAGGGCGCGUAGGCGGCCCGGUAAGUCGGACGUUAAAUCCACAGGCUCAACCUGUGGCUGCAUCCGAUACUGCCAGGCUAGAGAAUGGUAGAGGAAAGCGGAACUUUCGGUGUAGCGGUGAAAUGCGUAGAUAUCGAAAGGAACACCAGUGGCGAAGGCGGCUUUCUGGGCCAUUUCUGACGCUGAGGCGCGAAAGCCAGGGGAGCAAACGGG